CACUGCCUACGGGACGCAGCAGUGAGGAAUAUUGGUCAAUGGGAGAGAUCCUGAACCAGCCAGGCCGCGUGAGGGAAGACGGCCCUAUGGGUUGUAAACCUCUUUUGUCGGAGAACAAAACCCGGGACGAGUCCCGGACUGCGUGUAUCCGAUGAAAAAGCAUCGGCUAACUCCGUGCCAGCAGCCGCGGUAAUACGGAGGAUGCGAGCGUUAUCCGGAUUUAUUGGGUUUAAAGGGUGCGUAGGCGGUCCGUUAAGUCAGCGGUAAAAUUGCGGGGCUCAACCCAGUCGAGCCGUUGAAACUGG
rnacentral:rRNA from 1 species